rnacentral:rRNA from 1 species
AGAGUUUGAUCAUGGCUCAGGACGAACGCUGGCGGCGUGCUUAACACAUGCAAGUCGAACGAUGAUCUCCAGCUUGCUGGGGUGAUUAGUGGCGAACGGGUGAGUAACACGUGAGUAACCUGCCCUUGACUCUGGGAUAAGCGUUGGAAACGACGUCUAAUACCGGAUACGACCAGCCCUGGCAUCGGGUGUUGGUGGAAAGAAUUUUGGUCAAGGAUGGACUCGCGGCCUAUCAGGUAGUUGGUGAGGUAAUGGCUCACCAAGCCUACGACGGGUAGCCGGCCUGAGAGGGUGACCGGCCACACUGGGACUGAGACACGGCCCAGACUCCUACGGGAGGCAGCAGUGGGGAAUAUUGCACAAUGGGCGAAAGCCUGAUGCAGCAACGCCGCGUGAGGGACGACGGCCUUCGGGUUGUAAACCUCUUUUAGCAGGGAAGAAGCGAAAGUGACGGUACCUGCAGAAAAAGCACCGGCUAACUACGUGCCAGCAGCCGCGGUAAUACGUAGGGUGCAAGCGUUGUCCGGAAUUAUUGGGCGUAAAGAGCUCGUAGGCGGUUUGUCGCGUCUGCUGUGAAAACCCGAGGCUCAACCUCGGGCCUGCAGUGGGUACGGGCAGACUAGAGUGCGGUAGGGGAGAUUGGAAUUCCUGGUGUAGCGGUGGAAUGCGCAGAUAUCAGGAGGAACACCGAUGGCGAAGGCAGAUCUCUGGGCCGUUACUGACGCUGAGGAGCGAAAGGGUGGGGAGCAAACAGGCUUAGAUACCCUGGUAGUCCACCCCGUAAACGUUGGGAACUAGAUGUGGCGAC